rnacentral:rRNA from 1 species
AUUGAACGCUGGCGGCAUGCUUUACACAUGCAAGUCGAACGGUAGAGGGGGCAACCCCUUGAGAGUGGCGAACGGGUGAGUAAUGCAUCGGAACGUGCCCAGUCGUGGGGGAUAACUACUCGAAAGAGUGGCUAAUACCGCAUACGACCUGAGGGUGAAAGCGGGGACCGAAAGGCCUCGCGCGAUUGGAGCGGCCGAUGUCAGAUUAGGUAGUUGGUGGGGUAAAGGCCUACCAAGGCAAUGAUCUAUAGCUGGUCUGAGAGGACGAUCAGCCACACUGGAACUGAGAUACGGUCCAGACUCCUACGGGAGGCAGCAGUGGGGAAUAUUGGACAAUGGGCGAAAGCCUGAUCCAGCAAUGCCGCGUGAGUGAAGAAGGCCUUAGGGUUGUAAAGCUCUUUUAGUAAGGAAAAUAAAUGAUGGUACUUACAGAAAAAGCACCGGCUAACUCC